AUUGAACGCUGGCGGCAGGCCUAACACAUGCAAGUCGAACGGUAACAGGAAGCAGCUUGCUGCUUUGCUGACGAGUGGCGGACGGGUGAGUAAUGUCUGGGAAACUGCCUGAUGGAGGGGGAUAACUACUGGAAACGGUAGCUAAUACCGCAUAACGUCGCAAGACCAAAGAGGGGGACCUUAGGGCCUCUUGCCAUCGGAUGUGCCCAGAUGGGAUUAGCUAGUAGGUGGGGUAACGGCUCACCUAGGCGACGAUCCCUAGCUGGUCUGAGAGGAUGACCAGCCACACUGGAACUGAGACACGGUCCAGACUCCUACGGGAGGCAGCAGUGGGGAAUAUUGCACAAUGGGCGCAAGCCGGAUGCAGCCAUGCCGCGUGUAUGAAGAAGGCCGUCGGGUUGUAAAGUACUUUCAGCGGGGAGGAAGGGAGUAAAGUUAAUACCUUUGCUCAUUGACGUUACCCGCAGAAGAAGCACCGGCUAACUCCG
rnacentral:rRNA from 1 species